AUUCACUUCUCACUCAUCCUAACAACUGCAUCAACUCUCUUAGAUAUUCUUCAUUUCCCAAAGAAAAGCACAAAUAUCCAUCUGACACUCUCCAUCCCAUUUUUCACGGGCGAAGAGUAGCUUUGUUCCAGCUUGUUACAUUGAGCUUCGAAAUUUGGCAACGGUAAAGAAAGACCGGGAAAUUAAAGUUGACGACCUUUGUACGAGAACAUAAAUACCGGAGCUGUGUGUGCUAUAUCUUCCCAAAAUGACAACUGUAGUAAACCCCAAGCCAUUUCUGACCAGCAUGACUGGAAAACGCAUCUGUGUUAAGUUGAAGUGGGGCAUGGAAUAUAUUGGAAUCCUUGUGUCAACAGACCAAUACAUGAAUCUCGAGUUGGACGAUUGCAUCGAGAUACUCGAGGACCAAACUAUUAGCAGUAUUGGAGAAAUAAGUAUUCGUUGCAACAACGUAGUUUAUGUAAGGGCAGCAGAUGAUGAACAAAAGGACGAAGAAUGACUUUCUCUCGAGCAUUUACUACAUUUAUCAAACUUUUUUAUGUUUAUCUUUGGGAUGCAUUCCAUAAUUUGCAUUCAUUUUGAUUCAUUUUAUAUUUUCAAAAAUGUAAUACGUUUUUUAAAACGGGAUUUAAGUAUUGAUGUUAGUAAAUUUUCAUUUUAUUUACUUUAUUAUUGUACGAAGCGCAUCACUGAUGUGUAAGCAUAUGGAAAAUAUAAUUGUUUAUCAUGUUUUAUUUUUAUGGUCUAGAUACGGAAAAACGGCCACGUAUUUAUUGUAAAAAUUUCUGUUUCUUGCUGAUAGAACUCGGCAAUACUACAUUACUAGUACUAAUAAGUAAGUAGUUCCAUUCUCAUUUCCUGAAUAAAUUGCUAUAUUUUUUUGGGA